CUCGCCAAUCGUGGCCUGGGUAAAAGGAACCCUAGAGACCCCCGCGGCCGCCUCCCUCUUCUCGCGCUUCCUCCCCAAGCCCCACCUCGCCCCACGCCGCCCAUCUCCGCCUCCUCUCUCACGUCCUCCCUGCCGCCAUGGCCUAGCCCACCCUCGUCAUCGACCUCCCCAAGCCCCCCUCUCUCUCUCUCUCGGGGGUGCUGCUGAUCGCAAUCUGGACGAAGAAAAGGAGACCCCGGAAGAAGUUAGAGCGUCCUGGUGGUGGCUAGAUCGAUGCGGCCGACGGCGAGUGCCGGUGAGCGACGGGGAGGCCCCUACCUCUCCGCAUCUUCUCCCAGGUUCCCGAUCUGGAGCGGGUGGGACGGACGCCGGCGAGGCCAGCCCCCCCCCCCCUCACACGCAGCUGGAGCAUACUUGGUACAUGAGCCUUGCCGUGAGUGGUGGUGCAACGGUGACCUUGACGAGCAGGGCAAUGGCCAGACACGAGUAAGACACCAAAGAUGACUGGAAGCACUCAAAAAAGUUUACCACGCUGGAGCUAUGUCAGGUUGUACGAGGGCAGUUAAUGAAUAUACUUGCGACCCUUUUACUCUCAGGUAAAUCACUAAUUAUUACAUGAUCUUUCAUAGUUGAAGUACCUACCAAAGGUAGUUAUUUUAUCCUUCUAACACGAGCAAUGAACAUUUUUUGCCAUUAAUUAUGGUCACAUUAUUGCUUCUUGGUUAAAAAAAUUCAGUAGAGGGUUGUAGCUAUUUGGAGUGCAGAAUUAUUAAGUACAGAGCAAGGAUUCCAAUUGGUCAUACAUGAAGUGAUACUCUUGCAAGAGCUAUGCAAUUAAAGUUCAUUUAAUUACAGUUUCACCACACUAUGAAAAGGGUACAACCUACCAAUCUUGAGAGCAUUAAUGUAACAACUUUUUGUAGCUUAGAAAUCCAAUGGAAACUAAUAAGGUAAAUAUGCUUCUUUCUUGCAGACUUGCAGUUCUGUUUUAUUCAUUACCCUACUGCAAGCUCUUGGUCGUAUACUGUAUAUAAGUAAAUUGUCUUUGCUUCUUGGUCCAAGGGACAAAAUUGCUGAAUGAUUUUGGCAUCUCCUGAUUUUCCUUCUCCAUGGUUUGCCAUGUUCUUUGGUCUGAAUUUAGUUUCUUUUUCUUUGUCUAAAUUCUGUGCAAAUUCAUGGAACCCACACUGUUUGCAAGUUCGGUUUGCCUUUUUCCUUUAAAGAUUUGUACUGCUCUAUUUUUUUUUAAUUGUUGAGGCAACAAAAUACCCCUUAUGUCAUGUAUGCUUCUUUGAUAGCAGUUUAUUAAGUGCUUAUACCAUAAUAUCUCUGAUAUAAGUACUCUAAUUAUAAUAGUAGCAAUCUAAAUUUAUUAUUGGCUUGAAAAUAAAAUAUUUGUGAGGAUAGAAAGGAAAUAUCAGCUUCACUCUGCAUUUCUUAUAGAUGUACCUAGGAGAAAUGCAGAAUUAAGAAGAGCUAUUUUCAGAACACCACUAUCUAUAUCUCUAUAUAUAUGCGGAACUCAAAACUCUUUUUGAAGAUGGAUGGAUGAACUUGAUCCCUGUCCAUCUCUGCUUUUUGUCGGUACAUGAUUGUGCACCUCCUAUGCCUACUUAAUUGUGUGUUCAUUUUGUUAAUCAAGAAGCAUAUGAUUUUAUGGCUGGGUACGUUGAAAAUAUAUAAAACCUUUCUUCUUUUGGAUAAUCUGUUUCCCUUUCGCUAAUCUUUGUUACUUGCCUACACAUCUAUGCAUACUAUUCACUACUGCUACCAAUCCCAUGCUUGUUUGUUCAGAUACUUGAAUGGUGGAACAUGGCUUUUGUUCGAUGGCGAUUUUCCAUUCUUUGUAUGUGUUGCAUUCUUUUGUCCAAAAGUAGAGAUGUACUUUCUUCAAGAAGAAAAUGCUAAGUCUUUUACUAGCAAACAUGUCGAUCUUGCACAUUUAGCUCUCUACGCACAGUCUCACUAUCAUCUUGUGUAGUUUAUUUAUAGGGGUUGAAUACAGAAUUUUAGCCCUCCUAUUUUAGAGUAUGAAUCGGAAUCUAAAUCAGCAAUUGUAAAAAUGAUCAGUAAUUGUGCUUACUUUUCAGACUCUCCUCCUUUUCUCGCUGCUGAACCCCUGCCAUCAUCAUGUCCACUCCGCGCCCGCCCCGUGCUCGACGUGCACAUCCUGAGCCCCGCGCCCCCUUGGCUCUCUCCUCUCCCCCCUUGUCGCCAACCCUAAACAUUUUCCCUCUCCACCCUACAGCCGCCUCCCCUAGCUCCUCGUCCCCUUCACUCAGUCCAUCCCUCAUCAUCUCGGAUCCAGCGGAUCUGAGGCGUGCGGGUGCGGAGGCGAGUUUCUCCGGCGGCGGCGGCGGCGGUCACCUGCAGGCAAAGGGCGGUGGCCGCACUCGAUUUGAUCUGCAGGAAAGAUAGAACAUGAGGAGAGAGAAGGAAGGAAAGGUGGAACGCCACCAUGGGCGAGGAGGGGCAACAUGGUCUUCGUGGUGGGAAUGGAGGAGCAGAGGAGGAUGGAGGUGGGUGGUGGGAGCAGAGUAGCAGGAGUUCCAGGUCCAGGCGACGCUCGUGGAGUGGAGAAGCUCGUCGUCCAGCAUCACCAUCCCCAAUCUAGAUCUGAGAUAGAAAAGAAGAGAAAUAAUCUUGUGGAAUUUCUUAUCUGAGAUAGAAAAGAAGAGAAAGAUCUUGUGGAAGAGUUUGACGAAAAAGAAAGGGAUCUGAGAUAGAAAAGAAGAGAAAUAAUCUUGUGGAAUUUCAUAUCUGAGAAAAGAAGAGAAAGAUUCUUGUGGAAGAGCAGCUUGACAAAAAAGAAAGGGGCGGCACAACUGUACACCACCAUGAACAGGUUGUUUCAUCGCUACAACUCAUAUAGCAAGCUAUGCCAGUAUGGCAAUAUCUGAUAGUACGGCUGCUCACGUUUCCAGGGGCAACACUCACAUUUACCCUCCAAAAUUCAACAUUUUCAUAUUUUGAGGAGCUUCAGUACGUUUGCUCACCGAUGAACUAGAAGUUGUUUUGUGUACUGCAUGAUUGAGGAAGUGCUAUUGCAGAUCAAAGUUGGUAGAAGCAUCUGCUGGGAAUCAAGUGUUACAUGGUUGUGGUUGACAAGGUUAGUGGUUUAGGAGUUCCUGCCAACACUGGCUUUUGGAAUUUAUCCUCGCUUCAUCAGUUGGGAUUUCUGUACAAAACUAAGAUAAUUUAUUUUGGUGCUUGCGAUGAGUAUUAGAUAGAGGGGUGAUGCACACAUACUUCACCCAGUGUAUCUGUUCAUGUAUGUUGUUAAUUGACUAAUUAGACAAAAAACCUCUAUCUGUAUGGUGUUUGUGAUGAUGCUAUCAAUUCACCAAACACUAAAAUACCGGGUUGUGCUUUUCAAAUCUAGCAAAUUAAUUCUCUA